rnacentral:rRNA from 1 species
UCUUCCCUCUGUCUUCGUGCUUAACACAUGCAAGUCGAACGGAAAGGCCCAAGCUUGCUUGGGUACUCGAGUGGCGAACGGGUGAGUAACACGUGGGUGAUCUGCCCUGCACUUCGGGAUAAGCCUGGGAAACUGGGUCUAAUACCGGAUAGGACGAUGGUUUGGAUGCCAUUGUGGAAAGUUUUUUCGGUGUGGGAUGAGCUCGCGGCCUAUCAGCUUGUUGGUGGGGUAAUGGCCUACCAAGGCGUCGACGGGUAGCCGGCCUGAGAGGGUGUACGGCCACAUUGGGACUGAGAUACGGCCCAGACUCCCACGGGAGGCAGCAGUGGGGAAUAUUGCACAAUGGGCGCAAGCCUGAUGCAGCGACGCCGCGUGGGGGAUGACGGCCUUCGGGUUGUAAACUCCUUUCGCUAGGGACGAAGCGUUUUUGUGACGGUACCUGGAGAAGAAGCACCGGCUAACUACGUG